rnacentral:rRNA from 1 species
GUUAUAUGGUCAAGUGAAGAAGCGCAUACGGUGGAUGCCUUGGCAGUCAGAGGCGAUGAAAGACGUGGUAGCCUGCGAAAAGCUUCGGGGAGUCGGCAAACAGACUGUGAUCCGGAGAUGUCUGAAUGGGGGAACCCAGCCAUCACAAGAUGGUUAUCUUGCACUGAAUACAUAGGUGCAAGAGGCGAACCAGGGGAACUGAAACAUCUAAGUACCCUGAGGAAAAGAAAUCAACCGAGAUUCCCUUAGUAGUGGCGAGCGAACGGGGAC